UAAAAGUCGUAACAAGGUUUCCGUAGGUGAACCUGCGGAAGGAUCAUUACCGAGUGUAGGGUUCCUAGCGAGCCCAACCUCCCACCCGUGUUUACUGUACCUUAGUUGCUUCGGCGGGCCCGCCAUUCAUGGCCGCCGGGGGCUCUCAGCCCCGGGCCCGCGCCCGCCGGAGACACCACGAACUCUGUCUGAUCUAGUGAAGUCUGAGUUGAUUGUAUCGCAAUCAGUUAAAACUUUCAACAAUGGAUCUCUUGGUUCCGGCAUCGAUGAAGAACGCAGCGAAAUGCGAUAACUAGUGUGAAUUGCAGAAUUCCGUGAAUCAUCGAGUCUUUGAACGCACAUUGCGCCCCCUGGUAUUCCGGGGGGCAUGCCUGUCCGAGCGUCAUUGCUGCCCAUCAAGCACGGCUUGUGUGUUGGGUCGUCGUCCCCUCUCCGGGGGGGACGGGCCCCAAAGGCAGCGGCGGCACCGCGUCCGAUCCUCGAGCGUAUGGGGCUUUGUCACCCGCUCUGUAGGCCCGGCCGGCGCUUGCCGAACGCAAAUCAAUCUUUUUCCAGGUUGACCUCGGAUCAGGUAGGGAUACCCGCUGA
rnacentral:rRNA from 1 species